rnacentral:lncRNA from 1 species
UCCCGAGCCAUCCUUGCAAGAACGGAAAAAUAUUUUUCCCUUGUCUUCCACCAAUCAAAAAAGUCGAAAGAGCCGUCUGGAUUCUCAUUCUCUAGUCCCUGCGACAAAUAAACUUGAAGCUCAUUUAGAUGGGAAAUUUCAUAUAAAUUAUCCCCUUGAGUACCCCUGAACUCCGUCCACGAUUUUAAGAGCUGUUAAGCCAGCAGCUCUUUUAGACGACUGUGAUGUAGACAAAGUAGGGGUUGGAAUAUUAGCCCGAGCAUGCUCUAACGCCUGUUUAUAAGCAUUAUAAACAGUUUGAGCAUUAACAUUAAUUGAUGUUUUCGAAUCAGCUAGUGUAGCAAUUUCUACUUCUGAAAGAUCUAAAGAUUGAUAAAUAGUAGAAUACCAAAAGUGAGGACCUCCUAAUUUCAUAGUUGGAUUNNNN